rnacentral:rRNA from 1 species
AACGAACGCUGGCGGCAUGCCUAACACAUGCAAGUCGAACGAGACCUUCGGGUCUAGUGGCGCACGGGUGCGUAACGCGUGGGAAUCUGCCCUUGGGUUCGGAAUAACAGCGAGAAAUUGCUGCUAAUACCGGAUGAUGACGUAAGUCCAAAGAUUUAUCGCCCAAGGGAUGAGCCCGCGUAGGAUUAGCUAGUUGGUGAGGUAAAGGCUCACCAAGGCGACGAUCCUUAGCUGGUCUGAGAGGAUGAUCAGCCACACUGGGACUGAGACACGGCCCAGACUCCUACGGGAGGCAGCAGUGGGGAAUAUUGGACAAUGGGCGAAAGCCUGAUCCAGCAAUGCCGCGUGAGUGAUGAAGGCCUUAGGGUUGUAAAGCUCUUUUACCCGGGAUGAUAAUGACAGUACCGGGAGAAUAAGCUCCGGCUAACUCCGUGCCAGCAGCCGCGGUAAU